GAUGAACGCUGGCGGCGUGCCUAAUACAUGCAAGUCGAGCGAACAGACGAGGAGCUUGCUCCUCUGACGUUAGCGGCGGACGGGUGAGUAACACGUGGAUAACCUACCUAUAAGACUGGGAUAACUUCGGGAAACCGGAGCUAAUACCGGAUAAUAUAUUGAACCGCAUGGUUCAAUAGUGAAAGACGGUUUUGCUGUCACUUAUAGAUGGAUCCGCGCCGCAUUAGCUAGUUGGUAAGGUAACGGCUUACCAAGGCAACGAUGCGUAGCCGACCUGAGAGGGUGAUCGGCCACACUGGAACUGAGACACGGUCCAGACUCCUACGGGAGGCAGCAGUAGGGAAUCUUCCGCAAUGGGCGAAAGCUUGACGGAGCAACGCCGCGUGAGUGAUGAAGGUCUUCGGAUCGUAAAACUCUGUUAUUAGGGAAGAACAAAUGUGUAAGUAACUAUGCACGUCUUGACGGUCCCUAAUCAGAAAGCCACGGCUAACUACGUG
rnacentral:rRNA from 1 species